rnacentral:rRNA from 1 species
UACAGAGGGUGCUAGCGUUGUUCGGAAUCAUUGGGCGUAAAGGGCGUGUAGGCGGUUUGUUAAGUCAUGUGUGAAAUCCCUCGGCUCAACCGGGGAACGACGCAUGAAACUGGCAAGCUAGAGUACCAAAGAGGGGGGGUGGAAUUCCCGGUGUAGCGGUGAAAUGCGUAGAGAUCGGGAGGAAUACCAGUGGCGAAGGCGGCCUUCUGGACUAUAACUGACGCUGAGGCGCGAAAGCUAGGGGAGCGAACAGG